GACACGACUCUCGGCAAUGGAUAUCUCGGCUCUCGCAUCGAUGAAGAGCGCAGCGAAAUGCGAUAC
rnacentral:rRNA from 46 species